CCUUGAGCCAAGACCAGAGGAGGCACAAGUGGAAGCACAGAGGAGGAAGCUACCAUGAGAUGACAAGGGACCCAGGGCAGCCGGAAGAUGGUAGAGCAGAACUGAGGUUCUCAGCACUGGGGACCUCCACGAAGAAAGCUAAACACUAAUUAUGCAAUGGCUGGAAAUGAAGGUACCAGAAACUUGGGUUCUCUUAGGUUUGGAUCCCUAAGCCAAGUGUGAUCAUAACAGUCAUCAACCAAAUCAGCACAUCACGUGAAGGGGGCUCGUCAAUAGCAUGUCAGGACCGCCGGCGGACAUCCCAGUUCUACUAGUUGGAUCAGCAGGCCCAACCAGCUCCCAACCUUUCCAGCUCCUCUGACUCACCCUCCUUGACAAUCUCUCCUGGUUUGACUAUGAUGGUCCUGGGCACUUCUGGGCACUGUGCCCUUCUGCUGAAAUUAUAGCCCCUAGGGACAGAGGGUGAAGAGUCUGGGCCCCAGCAGCCAGAAAGCAUGAGUUCACCUGGCCUGCACCUAGGUCCUCCCAUGACCAGUUGUUUGCCUCCUUCAGUGACAUCUUUCCACCUGGCCCAAGGGAAGAAACUGGCCACCAUUUCUCAUAAGAUGGCUUCUUUGUUUUUGAAAGCAGCAGGUGGCCAUAGAAUGAACCCUUCCUAUUCCAGUAAUAUUCUCCUCCUGCUUCUUUCCUAGUAAUUUGUUUUGUGAGGAAAGAAGAAAAGCAGGAGGCCCCUCCAAAUCAAGCACACUGUGCCUCACGAGGUUGAGCUCCCUGGAUGAUGUCACUUGGGGCAGAGAUGCACGUCGGGUGAUCCAUAAGGCCACAGCACACUGCUGGGACUGCCCUUGCAAACCUCACAAGUGUGUUUGUCUCUUUCUUAGUGACUUCAUCCUCUGUCUCCAUCUCAAAGUCCUUUGCAUAAAACAGUAGAGAAAGACAAAGCUGCCUGGGUUAUUAAAUGAAUCUUGAACAAAAAGCUAA